rnacentral:tRNA from 1 species
GCCCGCGUGGUGAAAUGGUAGACACAGGGGACUUAAAAUCCCUCGGCUGAAAGGCCUUGCCGGUUCAAGUCCGGCCGCGGGCACCA